GAGAAAAUAGUCUAUUAUUUCAUUUUAUUAUUAUUAUUAUUAUUAUUAUUUUACUAUUUAUAUUUUUACUUUUUUCGAGAUUAAUAGACUGAUUGUCAUUUCUUUGUAACUGUGAAAUUUACUUGUAAUGUCUGAUUAAAAACUGUUUUAUAGUGGCUCACCAAUUUUUAUUUUCAUUUCUUUAUUUUUUUCAGCAUAAUACACAAGCUGGGCACACUGACCGCUGGCAGCUGGCAGGUGCUUCAGGCAGUGACCUGCUGGGUCCUGCAGACAGACAGACAGAAGACAGAAAACUUAAAUCAGCUGACCCCAUGACACUCCACUGGCACGAGGAUGCCACUAGCUGCCCACAAUCCCCUUUGCCACGUCUCAUUCACCCACUCUUGGCCAGCCGAUGUACCAGACUCUGCAAAGAUGUCACAUGGUCUUCAAAGCUUGACACUUCAGAGGAAAUAUUUUACAUUUUGUCUCGCAGAUUGACCCAAAACGCUAAACCAGAUGCAGUACUGGAAUAUCUGGGGGUCAGGUGGGAGCUGCUUCACUCUGUCUUGAGCUACUCAGACACAUUAUCUAAGUUGAUACAAACAGCAAAAGACAAAGUGAUGUUCAGCUACAAGAGAGAGCUGCCACAAGUAAAGACAGCAAAGUUAAUUGGUCUCAGUGUGAAAGAGGACUGGUCUACAGAAAGUGGCAUCUCAGCGAUCCCCUGGAAUUCUCUGAUUGCCUGUCAAAGACACCUCCAUCAAUAA
ensembl:lncRNA